rnacentral:rRNA from 1 species
AUUGAACGCUGGCGGCAGGCCUAACACAUGCAAGUCGAACGAGUGGCGGACGGGUGAGUAAUGUCUGGGAAACUGCCUGAUGGAGGGGGAUAACUACCGGAAACGGUAGCUCAUACAGCAUACCAUCGGAAGUGCCCAGAUGGGAUUAGCUAGUAGGUGGGGUAACGGCUCACCUAGGCGACGAUCCCUAGCUGGUCUGCGAGGAUGACAAGGCACACGGGAACUGAGACACGGUCCAGACUCCUACGGGAGGCAUCAGUGGGUAUGAUUGCACAAUGGGCGCAAUCCUGAUGCAGCCAUGCCGCGUGUAUGAAGAAGGCCUUCGGGUUGUAAAGGACUUGCAGCGGGGAGGCGUUACCCGCAGAAGAAGCACCGGCUAACUCAGGGCCAGCAGCCGCGGUAAUUC